rnacentral:lncRNA from 1 species
GCAUGUUCCCUCUCCAGGGGAAGAGGUGCGGGACACCGCCAAGUCCAACAAGUGCCGGUGAAGAGCGAUGAAUUACAUAACACGGGAGGGAAGCCAAAAAACUCAUCCGGCUCUUAACCCCUCGCAAGCCACGGUUCCCCUGCCCCUCUCCCUUUCUCCCAACCAGGGGGGCUUCUGCCCCAGCCCCGGUCCUGGCCCCAGAGGGCCUCCCCGAGACGAGGCACUCACCGAUGGUGGUGAUGACCGUGAUGGCAAAGUAGAAGGAGCCGGCGAAUUUCCACUGGACACCGGCCCGGUGCGGCUCGGACUGCAUGAUCACCAACUCCAGCUGCCGGUAGUCCUCGCUGGUGAUGUUGUACUUUCCUUUGAGCCGGAUCUCCUCGGCUUUGAGUUUCUCCUCCUCCCGCAUCUCGUUGUCGGACUCCAGGGCAUCAAAGACGGCAGCCCCGACCAGCAGGGCUUGUGCACAGCAGAAAGGGUGAGUUCACUUCUCAGUAUACAAGCCAAAGGUCUCCUCCACAACUGCUGCGAAGGAUUUGGAAGAUGUUUCGCUCAAACACAGAAUUUAUAUAUAGGCACAAAGCUUUCAUUAAACAUGAGCAGCUAAGGGGACAGCAUCAGUCACUGACGGUAAUGUAUGCACAUCUUGUAGGCACACUAGAGAGGAACAUGCUGCCUUGGAGAAAUUAAUACAGCAAAGGUGUUCAUUAUUGAUGCAUUUGUUACUGAAUUGACUCCGCCUAAGUUUCCUGAGCCAAUGUGACUUCCAGAUCUAUUUGUAGAUUACCAAAUGCUCACACUGUGACUGUCACUUUUGCAUUUACUGCAGCUGAUGCCUUAGAUGACUACCUUGCGUACCAAAACUGCCACUGAAUAAGUCUUCAAGGAGAACCCUGGCAAAGUAGAAAGGAAGAUCCCUGUACUGGUACAGCCUUCUCCAUCAUCACCAAAGGUAACUGAGCUGUAAAGAUCCAUAGAGCUGGGAGAUACAACACCCUUCCUGUAGCAACGAGUACUAUAUCUCAAUGCAACAACUUCUGAAUGAAUUUGUGGAAGUGUGCAUUUUGUUAAAAUCACCACUGAAGAAAGAAAUUAAUUGCUUAGAAGGCUUCCUGGCUAGAGCAAUAAGAUACAACUGUUACUAAUGGAAUGCCACUGUAAAGGGAAAAUAGGAACUAUUAUGAAUAUUUGCUGUGGAAUUGUCUUGUCCAGAAGAAAAAGCACCAUAUGGCUUGGAAUAUUUAAAAUAAAGCUGAAAAAAAAAGUGCUGAUUUACCUUACGUCUGUGUGUUGACUGCUUGAGCAGC